rnacentral:rRNA from 1 species
UACGUAGGGCGCAAGCGUUGUCCGGAUUUAUUGGGCGUAAAGAGCUCGUAGGCGGUCCGUCACGUCGGCUGUGAAAACCCGAGGCUCAACCUCGGGCCUGCAGUCGAUACGGGCAGACUAGAGUGCGGUAGGGGAGACUGGAAUUCCUGGUGUAGCGGUGAAAUGCGCAGAUAUCAGGAGGAACACCGGUGGCGAAGGCGGGUCUCUGGGCCGGUAACUGACGCUGGAGGAGCGAAAGCGUGGGGAGCGAACAGGAUUAGACUA